AUACCUACGGGGGGCAGCAGUGGGGAAUAUUGCACAAUGGGGGAAACCCUGAUGCAGCGACGCCGCGUGAGUGAAGAAGUAUUUCGGUAUGUAAAGCUCUAUCAGCAGGGAAGAUAAUGACGGUACCUGACUAAGAAGCCCCGGCUAACUACGUGCCAGCAGCCGCGGUAAUACGUAGGGGGCAAGCGUUAUCCGGAUUUACUGGGUGUAAAGGGAGCGUAGGUGGCAGGGCAAGUCAGAUGUGAAAGGUCGGGGCCCAACCCCGGGACUGCAUUGGAAACUGUUGAACUGGAGUACAGGGGAGG
rnacentral:rRNA from 1 species